rnacentral:ncRNA from 1 species
AAAAACGGCAAAUCCGUCGAAAGGCGGAGACGCAAAGCCACCGAUCUAAGGGAUUUCGAAUCCUAAGACAGCGGGGUUGCCA